rnacentral:rRNA from 1 species
CCUAACACAUGCAAGUCGAACGGUAACAGGAAGCAGCUUGCUGCUUCGCUGACGAGUGGCGGACGGGUGAGUAAUGUCUGGGAAACUGCCUGAUGGAGGGGGAUAACUACUGGAAACGGUGGCUAAUACCGCAUAACGUCGCAAGACCAAAGAGGGGGACCUUCGGGCCUCUUGCCAUCAGAUGUGCCCAGAUGGGAUUAGCUUGUUGGUGAGGUAACGGCUCACCAAGGCGACGAUCCCUAGCUGGUCUGAGAGGAUGACCAGCCACACUGGAACUGAGACACGGUCCAGACUCCUACGGGAGGCAGCAGUGGGGAAUAUUGCACAAUGGGCGCAAGCCUGAUGCAGCCAUGCCGCGUGUAUGAAGAAGGCCUUCGGGUUGUAAAGUACUUUCAGCGGGGAGGAAGGUGUUGUGGUUAAUAACCACAGCAAUUGACGUUACCCGCAGAAGAAGCACCGGCUAACUCCGUGCCAGCAGCCGCGGUAAUACGGAGGGUGCAAGCGUUAAUCGGAAUUACUGGGCGUAAAGCGCACGCAGGCGGUCUGUCAAGUCGGAUGUGAAAUCCCCGGGCUCAACCUGGGAACUGCAUUCGAAACUGGCAGGCUUGAGUCUUGUAGAGGGGGGUAGAAUUCCAGGUGUAGCGGUGAAAUGCGUAGAGAUCUGGAGGAAUACCGGUGGCGAAGGCGGCCCCCUGGACAAAGACUGACGCUCAGGUGCGAAAGCGUGGGGAGCAAACAGGAUUAGAUACCCUGGUAGUCCACGCCGUAAACGAUGUCUACUUGGAGGUUGUGCCCUUGAGGCGUGGCUUCCGGAGCUAACGCGUUAAGUAGACCGCCUGGGGAGUACGGCCGCAAGGUUAAAACUCAAAUGAAUUGACGGGGGCCCGCACAAGCGGUGGAGCAUGUGGUUUAAUUCGAUGCAACGCGAAGAACCUUACCUGGUCUUGACAUCCACAGAACUUUCCAGAGAUGGAUUGGUGCCUUCGGGAACUGUGAGACAGGUGCUGCAUGGCUGUCGUCAGCUCGUGUUGUGAAAUGUUGGGUUAAGUCCCGCAACGAGCGCAAC